CCAGAGUUGGAGCGGCCGCCGGCCCAGCCCCCACGCGUCUCCGCGCGCCGCCACCUACCUGUCGGGCCCGGCUCAGCCCGCGCGGGGCAUGGGGCUCGCUGGGGUCCCCGCCUGCCCGCCGCCGCCCUGGCGUCCUCCCGCGCCGCGCGCCCUAGCCGCGCCGGGCCAUCGCGGGCGCCUCGGCGGGAGCUCCGCGCGCCCCAGCUCCGUGCUGCUCCGGCCUCCGGGGCCCGGGCGUCUCCGCCCCCGGCUCAGCCCUGGCUCCUCCCCACCGCGCCGCGCCCUCCUCGCGCGCUGGGCUCCGUCCCGGCCGCCGCCGCUCGCUCCGGGCUGCAGGGCGGCCGGCUCCGGACUCCGCGGGCUGCGACUGAGCCGGUGCGAAGGCGGCGCGCGGGCGGGGGUGGGGCCGGGGCGCGCGCCGAGCGGCGGGCAGGCGGGGCUCAACUCCGCGCUACCGUAAUCCGCCUAAAGCUGGCGCAGCACGUCCACUGCCGGGCCGCGGGGAGACCACGUGGACCGAACUUCAGGGGAGAACAGACCGGCACGUGGGACGGGCCGUGGGGCUACGGAUCUGAAAGGGGCUUUGCAGAGAGACCUCAGAGGGUGUCCGGCCUCGGAGCGGUUCCAGGGAACGCUGUGCCAACCCCACCUUCCUGUGGAGCCCUGAGGUCAUUCCGGACUCCCGACGCCGCCAGUCCCUUGGUGAGACAGCAGCACCACUGGCGUCCGUGGCCUCUGUUUCCGUGGCAACCCAGUAACCAUUAAUUUUCAAUUAAAGGAGACAAAAAGCUCAAUGACAGCUCCAGGUCCGCUGAAGAUGUCAAGAAUGUGUAUUAAUAUACAGCACGAGAGCAUAAUUGUGUGUCCAUCUUCCAGAGCAGCGAAAAAUGGAGGGAUAAUUACCAGCUCGAAAGCCACUCUGUAAUUUAGUUCUUACUGUCACCACAACCCUGCACAUUAGCAUAAAUUAAAAGCGGAGUUUAUUGUUAUCAAAGUGCAUCGAUACCGCCAGACCCGCUUUCUUGCUUUUAACUGUUUGUUGUGGGCAAGUGACUCCCCGACUCUCACCAGGGCCUCCCCAGGAUGGGCACAG
rnacentral:lncRNA from 1 species